CUCUCUCUCUCUCUCUCUCUCUCUCUCUCUCUCUCUCUUUUUGCUUAAAGUCUAGACCGCGCCCCUCGUCCCCUAAGCCUGAGCUACCUCAUACGCGGCUGCCGCAGAACAGCUGCUCAAGGUUGACCCUGGAGACAAAGUUCCUCCAGCCUGGAAUGCGGCAACUUGGAGUCCAGCACAAGCCCAGAACUUCCCUGAAGCCCUUCCCCAGGGAUGGUGUGGAGACUCCAGGAAGGGAUUGCUUGAAGCAUGCUUCUCCCCAGUGCUGAUUCAGGACCAACUCCUCAGAGGCCUUAAGGGAGCCUUGGAAAAGGGGCUGAAAAAGUGAAGGAGAGACCAAGGACCAAUUGUAGUCUGCCAAGAAAAGGUGUUUCUUCAUCUUCCAAGACAGCUUGUGCCCACACAGCCUGGAGGGAAGAGCUGGGCUUCUAGUGAGAUGAUUUCUAGAAUUUCCCUGAAACCUACAGCUACUUCAUUGCCGUAAGCCUCAGUUUACCUGUCUGGAAAGUGGGCAGAACAGCAAUGCCGACUCCUUAGAAGAUCCUUUCAGGGCAGCUCCCGCGCAGGGUGGGCAUACACGGACGCUUCUGUUUCUCUUGUUCUUCUGAGAAACCAUGUGACUGUACUGAUGGACAGGGAAUAUGUGCCUUCUCGACCCACUCAAUGCUGAGCUGUAGACAGAUUUUGAUUCCAGAUCAGUGAGACCUGGAAAUGAAGGCACUGCCUUUGUGGUGAGCCUGAGUGGGGCUCAGCCUGAGUGGUGGCCAUCAAUAGAGCACUGACUUAUAUAAAGUAACCACUCAGUAAGUGCCUCCUAGAUGAAAUAAAAA